rnacentral:misc_RNA from 1 species
AACGCAUCUUGCGCUCCUUGGUAUUCCGAGGAGCAUGCCUGUUUGAGUGUCAUUCAAGUUCUCAACCACAUCAAUAUUCUGUUGAUGUGCGCUUGGACGUGGGGGUUUAUUUUGCAGGCUUCUUUGAAGUCGGCUCCCCUGAAAUGUAUUAGUGGUAUCUGAGCAGAAGAAACUACUACAGGUGUGAUAACUAUCUACAUCUUGGUAUGCUGCAUGAACAGAUUGCACUGCUUCUAAUGAGUGAAACCCCUUUUUGGGGCCACAUUUUGAUGAAUUUGACCUCAAAUCAGGUAGGACUACCCGCUGAACUUAA